rnacentral:rRNA from 1 species
UGAGGAAGAUAAUGACGGUACUCAACAAGGAAGUGACGGCUAACUACGUGCCAGCAGCCGCGGUAAAACGUAGGUCACAAGCGUUGUCCGGAAUUACUGGGUGUAAAGGGAGCGCAGGCGGGAAGACAAGUUGGAAGUGAAAUCCAUGGGCUCAACCCAUGAACUGCUUUCAAAACUGUUUUUCUUGAGUAGUGCAGAGGUAGGCGGAAUUCCCGGUGUAGCGGUGGAAUGCGUAGAUAUCGGGAGGAACACCAGUGGCGAAGGCGGCCUACUGGGCACCAACUGACGCUGAGGCUCGAAAGUGUGGGUAGCAAACAGGAUUAGAUACCCUGGUAGUCCACACCGUAAACGAUGAUUACUAGGUGUUGGAGGAUUGACCCCUUCAGUGCCGCAGUUAACACAAUAAGUAAUCCACCUGGGGAGUACGACCGCAAGGUUGAAACUCAAAGGAAUUGACGGGGGCCCGCACAAGCAGUGGAGUAUGUGGUUUAAUUCGACGCAACGCGAAGAACCUUACCAAGUCUUGACAUCCCUUGACGAUGCUGGAAACAGUAUUUCUCUUCGGAGCAAGGAGACAGGUGGUGCAUGGUUGUCGUCAGCUCGUGUCGUGAGAUGUUGGGUUAAGUCCCGCAACGAGCGCAACCCUUAUGGUCAGUUACUACGCAAGAGGACUCUGGCCAGACUGCGUUGGAACAA